rnacentral:rRNA from 1 species
UACGGAGGAUCCAAGCGUUAUCCGGAUUCAUUGGGUUUAAAGGGUGCGUAGGCGGAAUAGUAAGUCAGUGGUGAAAGCCCGCAGCUUAACUGCGGAACUGCCAUUGAUACUGCUAAUCUUGAGUACAUUUGAAGUGGGCGGAAUAUGACAUGUAGCGGUGAAAUGCUUAGAUAUGUCAUAGAACACCGAUUGCGUAGGCAGCUCACUAAACUGUAACUGACGCUGAGGCACGAAAGCGUGGGGAUCAAACAGG